AAGGCGAGUGUGCUUCUAAGAAGUUACAGUAUGCUGUGUAAAGAAAUGUUUGAGAUACCUCUGCAUGUUACCGCAUCUGAUUUCUGACGGAGUGAUGUCAUUGAAAAUGCAAAGAUAUGUUUUGCAGCCAAAGAAGCAUGACCAAAGAAUCAGUCGACUAUUAAGUAUUCUUGAGACGAGGGCAAAUGGAUUCUAAGCUCUAUUAUCUUCGUUGGAUCUGUCUGAUCAGAGUAACGUUUCUGAUUACUUAAAGAGUAAGUGUCCAUGCACAACAGUAAAUAAUACAUGUGUCUCUUCGUUAAAAUAUUCACCACAGCAUAUCAUUCUCUGAUUCUCAAUAUUUUGAUCAGUUAAAUUAGAAAAUUUGCGAUUUAGAAAUGUACAUACCUUUCGAAGCGGUGACAACUACUCCACUCAAGCAUAACCGGAAAGCCCUCUCACGGUUUUCAUUGCAGAACCGAUUUUUCUGCGUGUGUAAAUUACCAGCCGUGUCGAUGGAUACAUAUAGAUUCUACCACUGCAUCGAGUUUGAUAUGAUAUUUAUCCACUCGAGACAGUUAAAUUUUCAAAUUUAAAACGCGAGGCUCGCGAGCGUUUUUAAAAAUGAAAAAAUUUAACUGUCGAGAGUGGAUAAAUAUCGUAUUACACCAGAUUUGGUGGUGGAAUCUGUUUCUCUAAUGAUUUUCAAACAAUACGCAGGCAAACUUAUUGCUUCUUUGCGACUGAUCUGCAAAAAGAUGUGUUCUUUUUAGGUGACGUCAUCAGACAUGGUCGCCUUUUUUCAUGCAAUAGGAAAUUUAGAGGAAAACUAGAAAAUUCGACGUCAUAAUCGGAUUUUAACCAAUGCAGAACUGUGAUCAAACGAACCACACGUUGAUUAAAUUUUUUUAUACAAUCAUGAAUGGGUGCAGAAAGGGAUAAAUUGACGAAGAAUUAGAGAAAUAAAUAUAAUAUACCCAAUGUAAUAUAACGUAUACAUGUUAGUCUACAAAUUAAGAGGAUUUACGCAGAGCUAUAUAAAAAUUAUAUAGAUUCGUUUGGCUUUGUUUGAUAAAGUUUGCCACUUGUUCCUUGAUCUCCCGUUAGAGCCUGCGUUUUUUAUGUGCACGUGAAACUAUGUUGCAAAGGUCUUUUAACUCCGUCCCAUUUUUGCCAGUGUCAAAUCAUUUCCCUGCUGAAAGUGGAUUAUUUGCCAAUCUCUGCUGGGUUUUUUUUUAUAUACUAGUGUUGUUUGGAAGUUCAAUGCUUGCGGGAUAGGAAGAACUGUUUGAUAACUUAGUUUGGAUAAUUCCUGCUAUACUUUUAAAGUAGUUUACUAUAUUUGACAGAUUUGUAGGUAUAAUAAAAAAGUUGUAUGGGUCAUUUUCAAAAAAUGUCGAAUUUUGAAACUGAAAAAAUUAUUAAAAGUUACUUAUUCAAACAACCCUCUACAUAAGCAAAUCAAAACAAACUGAACUUUAAGAACAACAUACUAAAAGAUGCAAUCUUGAUGUCAUACAAGAAUUGUUGAAACAUUUUUUGAUCGUGGUAAAUUAUUUGUCUAUCCUGUUCCAUUUUCAAAAGAAAUUUUGGGUUAUUAAGAAAAGGUUUAGAUAAAAUGUUAAGCUUGUUUUACGUAGUCUAUUAGAUGGUUUUCAAGAGAAUAAACGUCUAUAUAUAUUCAUUCUGUAAUAUAAUAGAUUAUUUGCCAAUUUUCCAGUUGUAUGAAAAAUGCUCUAAAAUUGGUUUCAAAGUUGUUAAAAAUUACACAAGUAUGCAAGUCUAAAGAUAGCAAUUUAUAUUGUUCGCAUUUUUUCACCCUUUUCAAAUAAACCCAACAUCAAGUAAAUCUUUCAUAAGUUAGUUUACCUUUCUCUUUAUUUCAUUGGUAACAGGAACGUGCGUUUCUGAUAUAUCACUAUACAAAAGUCUAUCCUGUUACCUUUUUGUCUAUCCUGUUACCGCGAUAUCAGUAUUGCACUUGCGAAUGCUUAAUUGGGAAGAUUAAGACGUUAUAACCUUAAGAUAAGUUCAAACAAUGAAAUAUUUCAUUCGUUUUGCAGCUAUAUGCGGUUAAGAUAAAAAAAAAAAAAAUAACGACGUUUUUGUCUACAAUUGUCUAUCCUGCUACUGUAACCAUAGCAACAUAGUAACAGAUAGACAUAACAGAUAUAUUUCUUCGUUUUAAUUGCGUUGUGAAAUAACUACUCCCUUUUUGUGAAGUGAUUUGUUUUUUCAUUGUGAAUUUGGUUUCAGCACGUUAUUGCACUUUUUACAAGUAUAAUGUUGGUGUAAUUAAUCAAAAUUGGUGGUAACAGCAUAGACAUGAAAAAAAGAACACUCUGUUUGUUUGACUCAAUGUCUUUGAAAUUUCUUUUCUCUACAAUGUCGUUCAAGAAACAAGGCGUUUUAAAUGUAAAGAUUACUUUGCACUUUGAGAUCAACAUGAGAUUCAAUAUUCAUAGGGAGAAUAAUUUAAUGGCUGAUUUAAGUAGCGGUAACAGGAAAGAAAUGAACCUCCUGUAUUUAGUUUGUAGAUAAUAUAUGUUACAUACAAUGAUAAAGAAGCUACGAUUUUUCGUUAGAGUAAUAUUUAACGUUCUUAAAAAGUCCCUUUUGCAGAUAUCAAGGCGAUCAGAAAAUCGCAAAAAAAAAUCAUGAAAAGUGUUUUCUGACACUGUAACGCAGAAAAAUACCCCCAAAAUCGGUCUUAAAUGCAGUUUAAUCUUAUCAAAAUAGAUGUAAGGUGUGUUUAUUAUUAAUGUUCUGAAUCACAAAUCCGACAAGCUUUCAUUUAAACCAUUACAACUGAAAUUUCCAUUAGAAAUAAAAAAAAAAUUAGCAUGGGUGUACUGAAAAUUCGACAUUUUUUGAAAAUGACCCGUAUAUUCUAAUUUGCUGUUUCUAUUAUUUUAUUUUCAAAGAAACAUUAGAAGGACAAACAGGUGAAACCUUGACACAGCCGGAAGUACCUUGCACAGAAGAUGAUG
rnacentral:lncRNA from 1 species